rnacentral:rRNA from 1 species
UACCAGACUCCUACGGGAGGCAGCAGUGGGGAAUAUUGCACAAUGGGGGAAACCCUGAUGCAGCGACGCCGCGUGAGUGAAGAAGUAUUUCGGUAUGUAAAGCUCUAUCAGCAGGGAAGAAAAACCGACCAUAGGGUCGCUAGACGGUACCUGAUUAAGAAGCCCCGGCUAACUACGUGCCAGCAGCCGCGGUAAUACGUAGGGGGCAAGCGUUAUCCGGAUUUACUGGGUGUAAAGGGAGCGUAGACGGCGAUGCAAGCCAGAUGUGAAAGCCCGGGGCUUAACCCCGGGACUGCAUUUGGAACUGUGUGGCUGGAGUGUCGGAGAGGCAGGCGGAAUUCCUAGUGUAGCGGUGAAAUGCGUAGAUAUUAGGAGGAACACCAGUGGCGAAGGCGGCCGCCUGGCCUGUUGCUGACGCUGAGGCACGAAAGCGUGGGGAGCAAAUAGGAUUAGAUACCCCAGUAU